rnacentral:rRNA from 1 species
CUACGGGGCGCACCAGUCGAGAAUCUUCCGCAAUGCGCGAAAGCGUGACGGAGCAAUGCCGCGUGGUGGAUGAAGGCCUUCGGGUUGUAAACACCUGUCACAUGGGACGAACUUUGACGGUACCAUGAGAGGAAGCCACGGCUAACUACGUGCCAGCAGCCGCGGUAAUACGUAGGUGGCGAGCGUUGUUCGGAUUUAUUGGGCGUAAAGGGUCCGCAGGGGGUUUGUUAAGUCUGAUGUGAAAUCCCGGGGCUCAACCCCGGAACUGCAUUGGAGACUGAUGAACUAGAGUAUCGGAGAGGUAAAUGGAAUUCCUGGUGUAGCGGUGGAAUGCGUAGAUAUCAGGAAGAACACCGAGAGCGAAGGCAAUUUACUGGACGAUUACUGACCCUCAGGGACGAAAGCGUGGGUAGCGAACAGGAUUAGAUACCCCCGUAGUC